UGCAUUAGCCGUCACCCCUUUUGGUAUUGAGAGUAGAUGUUGUAUAGGGUGAGGUUGAGUGAUUGUAUUUGUAUUUUGGAAGAUGUAAAAGAUGUAAUUAAAUGUAUUAAGUCAAAUGAAUGUAAUAGAUAGCCUCUUCUCUCUUUAUGUACUUGUAUAUGUUUUUAUACUUAUAUCUUGCUCUCAGCUGUUUAGCACUGUUCGUGCUCUCCUCGUUGCAGCUAUCGAUUGUGUAUGUAUUCAAGUUAUUUUCCUGGAAACUUGUUGUACACAAUCUCGUUGUUAGCCUUGGGCGGAUAGGGAAGGUGCUGUCCGUUCGGCGUCUGUUCGACGCGCCCGGGCCGGACCAAAUUGGUAGCGGUCUCCGGGCGUGACAGAUAAAGUGGUAUC
rnacentral:lncRNA from 1 species